CUGCUGGAUGGUGCCUCUGCUGGUUUGCUCCCUCCAGCUGCCACUGACCAUCCUAGGCAUCCUGCCUUAGCCCACUGUGAGGUCCAUCUCUGAUGUCUUCUGACCUGGCCUCUCAUGUCUUGGGCAUAGCCUGGUUUAGGAACCAGAAAUUAGGAACAAAGCCUCAAACUCAGAGACCUAUAAACUGUCAGUAGCCAAGUGCAG
rnacentral:lncRNA from 1 species